rnacentral:rRNA from 1 species
CCUACGGGAGGCAGCAGUGAGGAAUUUUGGGCAAUGGGCGAAAGCCUGACCCAGCGACGCCGCGUGGGCGAUGAAGGCCUUCGGGUCGUAAAACCCUGUGAGUUGGGAAGAAGCCUUUGCGUGCUAAUACCACGUAGAGGUGACAGUACCAACAGAGGAAGCCCCGGCUAACUACGUGCCAGCAGCCGCGGUAAUA